rnacentral:rRNA from 1 species
AGUGAACGCUGGCGGUAGGCCUAACACAUGCAAGUCGAACGACAGCACAGUAAGAGCUUGCUCUUACGGGUGGCGAGUGGCGGACGGGUGAGGAAUACAUCGGAAUCUACUUUUUCGUGGGGGAUAACGUAGGGAAACUUACGCUAAUACCGCAUACGACCUACGGGUGAAAUCAGGGGAUCAUCGGACCUUGCGCGAUUGAAUGAGCCGAUGUCGGAUUAGCUAGUUGGCGGGGUAAAGGCCCACCAAGGCGACGAUCCGUAGCUGGUCUGAGAGGAUGAUCGGCCACACUGGAACUGAGACACGGUCCAGACUCCUACGGGAGGCAGCAGUGGGGAAUAUUGGACAAUGGGCGCAAGCCUGAUCCAGCCAUGCCGCGUGGGUGAAGAAGGCCUUCGGGUUGUAAAGCCCUUUUGUUGGGAAAGAAAAGCAGCAGGUUAAUACCCCGCUGUUCUGACGGUACCCAAAGAAUAAGCACCGGCUAACUUCGUG